rnacentral:misc_RNA from 1 species
UACGUAGGUGGCAAGCGUUGUCCGGGUUUAUUGGGCGUAAAGAGCGCGUAGGCGGCCUGGUAAGUCGGAUGUGAAAUCUCCGAGCUCAACUCGGAGACGCCAUUCGAUACUGCUAUGGCUAGAGUCCGGUAGAGGAGUGUGGAAUUCCCGGUGUAGCGGUGAAAUGCGCAGAUAUCGGGAGGAACACCGAUGGCGAAGGCAGCACUCUGGGCCGGCACUGACGCUGAGGCGCGAAAGCGUGGGGAGCAAACAGG